GUAUCUCGCACAGAUGCAUAUCAAUAAGCGGAGGAAAAGAAACUAACAAGGAUUCCCUUAGUAACGGCGAGUGAAGCGGGAAGAGCUCAAAUUUGAAAUCUUAAAGGUUUUCCCUUGACGAAUUGUAGUUUAAAGAAGUGUUUUCUGUUGAAGGUUUUGGUAAAAGUUCUUUGGAAUAGGACAUCAUAGAGGGUGAGAAUCCCGUAUUUGACCAUUAUUUUCAGCUGUGUGAUACACUUUCAAAGAGUCGGAUUGUUUGGGAAUGCAGUCCAAAAUGGGUGGUAAAUUUCAUCUAAAGCUAAAUAUUGGCGAGAGACCGAUAGCGAACAAGUACCGUGAGGGAAAGAUGAAAAGAACUUUGAAAAGAGAGUUAAACAGUACGUGAAAUUGUCAAAAGGGAAGCGUUUGACACCAGUGUUGUUUUCUCGAAAAUCAAUUAAAAAGAGUUUGAUUUUGUUGUGUAUUGACCUUAACAGCUUGCAUUUCAAUUUUCUUGCUUUUUUUAAUGCACUUUUCGUUUAACAAGUCAACAUCAGUUUCUUUUGUUGUAAAAAGGUCAUUGGAAGGUGGCUUUCUUUUCGGAGAAAGUGUUUAUAGCCUUUGACUCCUGCAAUCGGAGAGACUGAGGUCUGCAGCGUAGAUCCUUCGGGGUUAGAUACAUUUGUGCUAAGUUAUAGCUUUUUAUAGACAACUUGUUGACUAUGAUUAGUCUUGUAGCUUACUCGCUUAUGCUAUUUUACCUACGCUUAGGAUGUUGAGCGCAUGUCUCUCUCU
rnacentral:rRNA from 1 species